AUAACUUAGGAAACAGGAAAAUUCUGAAGUAGUCAGAAUAAGGUUGUGAGAUGGGAGGGUGUAGAAGUGUGAAGAAAUUAAUACAUUUUGGUGAAGAAGGAAUCCUUUCUAUAAGCUGAUCUAGAAAUACAGUGGUAUUCAAUAUAUUAACCUUGUCCCUUUCCUUACAGCCCCUGAUACACGGUUUAUAGUCAGAAGAGACAUGGGAUGAAGGCAAGGCUGGGAAAUCUCCUCUCUUGGAACGGGGGAUGUGGUUCUCCUGGAGCAGCAGUUGAUGCUCUGCACACCCAGCAUCUCCAGCCAUGCCUUCCAACAGACUGCUUGGAAAUCUCAGAACACGAGGACGUGUGAAUUCCUCCAUUUCCUUCGCUGCCUCCCCAUCAGUGCCUUGCCUGGGAACCCUCAUCUGUGUCAUGCCUUGGCUGACCGUGGGUGCUCCCUGGACUCUGUACCUGAGGUGGUGUCGAUCUCCCCGUCCUGCUCCUUGUAGCUGUAGGUGCUGCACAUGGUCUGGGUGCCCGACUCGUUGGUGAGAAAGCCCUUCCCACCAAUGCUGGUGUUGUGCCAGUCUUGGGCUGGUACAAGCAGCUGGAAGAGAAGAAGCAGAUGGUUAAAAACUCCUUCCUGCCACGGGUGCAAUGUCUGAUUCCUUGCCCUCAAUCAGAUGACAGAAAGGAAGUUUGGUUGAAGCACAUGCAGGAGAAUGAAUGUCAGAAAUGUUGAAACUCUGCCCAGGCAUGAUGUAAUGCCAGCGAGUGCUCUGAUCUGCAGGCUACAAUAAAGAUAUCCUGGGAUGGGCCAUUUACAGUUUCCUGGAAUUGGAAAGACCUGUCUCAGGACCUAAAAUCAUUCCAGUUCUCCCUACUGAUGGAGCGGUGAAGUUUUAAACUAAACCCAAAUGAGAUUCUGGGCUUGUUUUGGUGGGAAUGAAG